rnacentral:misc_RNA from 1 species
GAAACCUUUACCAAAAUCAUGUUGGUUUGGGGUUCAGUUGCAGAGUCAUAAAACAUUCUUCUUUAUUUCCAUUUUAAGAAUUCUUCUCAAAUGAUUGUUCAAGUCCUUUGGGUUGUUUCUUUUUUAUUGCGAUAAAAAACAAUCUAUUGUAUUUGAUUAUUAACAUCAGUUUGUUUAACUGGUUAUCUUGUUCUAUAAUUUAAACUUAAAAUUUAACUAACUUAUUAAGUUGAACAUUUGUUAUAAGAAUAGAAAAACAGACAUUUGCAUGAAUAAAUUAUUAUUUUGUUUUACAAGAACUGUGACAAGACUAUGUAUUGAAUGUUUGGUAUGUAAUCUUUAUAUACAUUCAUGAACUAAUUUUGUCUUUUGGGGUAUUAUUUUAACCUAUUUGUGUAAAUCUUGUUAUUUUUUUAAUGUUGUUACAGGACCAAUUUGUUAGUGAUUUUGGUGCAUUGUACAUUGUUACCAUGAAUUUAUCUGUUUUAACACUGAAAUUAUCAUGACUUAUGUACAUUGGACAGUAUAUUGAAUUUUUCAUUACCUACAUGUGUGAAAUAAAGCAAAUAUGUACUUAAUAAAAAUAUUUUAAUAUCAUGAAUGUAUUGAACCUACUGUAUUGGUUUCAACAAAUUUUCCAUGUAUUUAUUGAGUGGAGAUUUUAAUCUUUCCCGGUAAAUAAGAAUAUUUGAUGUCAAUUUUCUCCUUUAGUAUAUUCGGUUAUAUAUUUUAAGUGCUUGUUUAUUGGCAUUACUUGCCUCACAAAAUUGUAAAUUUGUAAAGAUGUGUUAUGUGUAUAUGAAUAUUUGUCUUGACAUUUAUUAAUUUCUUGAUAGAAAUAAAACGCUGGAAUCUAU